rnacentral:rRNA from 1 species
GUGUCAGCCGCCGCGGUAAUACGAAGGGGGCUAGCGUUGUUCGGAAUUACUGGGCGUAAAGCGUACGUAGGCGGAUUGUUAAGUGAGGGGUGAAAUCCCGAGGCUCAACCUCGGAACUGCCUUUCAUACUGGCAAUCUUGAGUCCGGGAGAGGUGAGUGGAACUCCUAGUGUAGAGGUGAAAUUCGUAGAUAUUAGGAAGAACACCAGUGGCGAAGGCGGCUCACUGGCCCGGAACUGACGCUGAGGUACGAAAGCGUGGGGAGCAAACAGGAUUAGAUACCCUGGUAGUCCACGCCGUAAACGAUGGAUGCUAGCCGUCGGGGAGCUUGCUCUUCGGUGGCGCAGCUAACGCAUUAAGCAUCCCGCCUGGGGAGUACGGUCGCAAGAUUAAAACUCAAAGAAAUUGACGG